GCUGGCGGCGUGCCUAACACAUGCAAGUCGAACGAGAAAGAGAUCUUCGGAUCUUGAGUAGAGUGGCGCACGGGUGAGUAACACGUGGAUAACCUGCCCUAUGAUCUGGGAUAACAUUUCGAAAGAGGUGCUAAUACCGGAUAAGCCCACACAAUCUUCGGAGCGAGUGGGAAAAGAUUUAUCGUCAUAGGAUGGGUCCGCGGUCCAUUAGCUAGUUGGUGGGGUAACGGCCUACCAAGGCCACGAUGGAUAGCUGGUCUGAGAGGAUGAUCAGCCACAUCGGGACUGAGACACGGCCCGAACUCCUACGGGAGGCAGCAGUGGGGAAUAUUGGACAAUGGGGGCAACCCUGAUCCAGCCAUGCCGCGUGUGUGAAGAAGGCUUUCGGGUUGUAAAGCACUUUCAGUGAGGAGGAAAACCUUAUGGUUAAUACCCAUGAGGCUUGACGUUACUCACAGAAGAAGCACCGGCUAACUCCGUGCCAGCAGCCGCGGUAAUAC
rnacentral:rRNA from 1 species